rnacentral:rRNA from 1 species
UACGUAGGGUGCGAGCGUUAAUCGGAAUUACUGGGCGUAAAGCGUGCGCAGGCGGUUUUGUAAGCCAGAUGUGAAAUCCCCGGGCUUAACCUGGGAACUGCAUUUGUGACUGCACGGCUGGAGUGCGGCAGAGGGGGAUGGAAUUCCGCGUGUAGCAGUGAAAUGCGUAGAUAUGCGGAGGAAUACCGAUGGCGAAGGCAAUCCCCUGGGCCUGCACUGACGCUCAUGCACGAAAGCGUGGGGAGCAAACAGG